GACGUAGGGCGUGAGCGUUGUCCGGAUUUAUUGGGCGUAAAGAGCUCGUAGGCGGCUUGUCGCGUCGAAUGUGAAAACUCGGGGCUCAACUCCGAGCUUGCAUUCGAUACGGGCAGGCUAGAGUUCGGUAGGGGAGACUGGAAUUCCUGGUGUAGCGGUGAAAUGCGCAGAUAUCAGGAGGAACACCGGUGGCGAAGGCGGGUCUCUGGGCCGAUACUGACGCUGAGGAGCGAAAGCGUGGGGAGCGAACAGG
rnacentral:rRNA from 1 species